AUCACUGACUUUCCAGAAGAAAACUUAAUGCUGCUCUUUCAUCCUUACGCCAUGGCUAAUACAGCAGUCACAGAAAGGGAUGGCUGUAAGAACCCAACGCAGGCCAGGCUAGAAGAACCGUAGAGAAUUUGGGGAAAAUACUGUCUGGCCACCCAGAAAACAAAGACCAGUUAGGAUUUGUUUUAUUUUCUCUUCUUCCCAGAUCAAUCCACAGUUCUCCAGGGACCCAUUGUGGUUUUGUGCUUCCUCUGUGCCUGUUCUGCUCCUUUCCAUGCACCCCCACUUCCCCAGCCCCUC
rnacentral:lncRNA from 1 species